rnacentral:sRNA from 1 species
UGCAAUGCGAUAGCGGCAGCCACCUCCUC